UGCCGGGUCGUCUAGUGGUAGGACGUCGCGCUCUGGACGCGAAAACUGGGGUUCGAGUCCCUGCCCGGCAG
rfam:Parcubacteria bacterium GW2011_GWB1_45_10 TW89_C0003, whole genome shotgun sequence.